CCCACUCCUUGGUGCUCACAGCUGAGGGUCUGCUAGGGAACAGCGGGAAUUUCUCUCCCUGAAUGACGUAGCUCUUGUCCACUUAGUGACCAAAUUUGAGCACAGAAAUGGUCUGCUGUCUCAUCUGAGGACAUGGACCCCAGAAUGCCCGUCUGAGUACCCUGUGUCACCUGUAGUCACUGGCAUAGAGGUGGGGAUAGUGUCUUCCUUUCCCUUUAUCCUUUCUAGUUCAGGGGCAGGGACUUCCUUAAGGGAAGGAGUGAAAACCUUUUGGGGGGUGAGGGGGUUGAUAAUGUCACUUCCUUACCUCUAGCUUUCCUUUCCCUGGCUGGGUUCAUACUCUUUCUGGAUUCCUUUGAGGCUGCCAUUUUGAAGGCAUCUCUGCUUGUCCUUUACAUGGUGGCUGGUGCUGCUGGUUUUGUUGGCUUUGCUGUGCUAAUUCUAAGGAGUAGGUGGGGAUUUUAAAAAGGGGUCUCUAAUAGAGGGAUACAGCUGCUGUAUAGAUAGAUAUAGUUAUGAUUACUGCAGUGAAGGUGGUCUAGAAGCAGAACUGCCUGGUUUCAUGUUGGGUCACAGCACUGGGUGGGGGUCUAAAUGGAAGCCUUCUGAGUCAGGGUUCCAUGGCCCAGGACCCCAUCUUUACUAGAGUAUGGCUAUUUGGCUUCUCUGCCCUAGUCAGCCUGAACCAGAGAUGUUCCAUCAAGUGCCUAGUGUUGGAGGAGAGUGAAGGGAGACAUAGCAGCUCAUCUCAGAUGUGGUAGACCUGUGGUUUCUGUUUUUCAAAUUCUCUCUCUCUCUCUCUCUCUCUCUCUCUCUCUCUCUCUCUCUCUCUCUCUCUCUCUCUCUUUCUCUCUCUCUCUCUCUCUCUCAUUCUCUCUCUCUUUCUCAGCCUCCAUAUUGAGACAUGGGUUGAGGUCCACAGCAGGCAGCAGCAUUUGGUCAGAUGACCCUGCCUUUUCUCCUUCCCCCCUGCCAGGGCCACAGUUCUAAUUGCUGUUCUUUAGUGAGGCUCCCUGCUGCCCAACCCUUUCUAGGCCCUUCUACGGAUAGCGGCCAUCUUGUCUGCCUGCUUAGAGAUUUAAAAUGGUUUCCCAUUGUCAGCUUGAAAUUCCUCCUAUUCGGUAGGGUACUCUGGGCUGACUACUAGUGGCUUUAGCUUUCCCAAGAAGCGUUCCUCGGGUGAAAACCAGACCACCCAUAUUUCCCUGCUUUUCUAUUUUCAGUACUGCUGUUUUCCAUGCCUACGCUCUACCUGUUGCAGGGCCACUGUCUUAAUGGACCUCUCCCUGAGCACCCUGUAAGAAGAAAUCCCUGUAACCACUAUUACGAGUCCCCUUUCUUUCAUGGUAUGUUUUUUUUUGUUUUGUUUUGUUUUUUUUUUUUGUUUUUUUUUUUUUUAUGUGUGUGUAUUCUCUAUCAGAGUUUGUGCUCCAGUAAGAAGCCAGGGGGAGGAAGAUAUCCCUGUUCAGAACCUCUGUUGCUGGAUGCCAUGUUACCUCAUGAAUACUACUAGGGUUGUUUGCUUGUUGGUUUGUUUUUGUUUUAUCAUAACCCUUUAGGGAGAAUCCUGUUGCUGACAAGAACCACCGGCCAUCAAAAAUCUUUUUUCCUCCCUGUUUCCAAGAUGACACUCUCAGAUGUGACUAUUUUAGGAAUAUUGUAAGUCUCUACAGUUGUGUUAGGUCAUUCAGCUGGUCCUUUUCCUUCAUGGCCAGGUUCAGUCAAGAUGAUUUACUUUUUUGUAACUGGGGUGAACAAACCUCAGUUGUUUUGCCUUCUUCCUGGAGGAACAGGCAGAGGUGAGUAGGUAGAAGCACCUGCAGAGGAGGGUAAGCCCAGUCACUGAGAUAGGUACAGACACUGGACUGCUCAUACCAGGUCUGUACCGCAGUCUCAGUUGGCUGAUUUUAGAUAGGUCAUCCUAUUUCUUGCCUACGUGUCCUUAGUCUGUGAAAUAGACCCCUAGCAGCCUGUUCUGUAGGAAUGUCCAUUUUACUUUCUGUUUCUUGUAGAUUUGGCAGAAGCUCUCUUUCCCUGCCUGGAGUAUUGUUGGGGAUGUAAAAUGAGAGAAUAGCAGAUGACUAGCAAAUUAGGGAAGGACUGUAUACUUCUAAGUUGUCACAGCAAGAAAAGAGAGGACUAUCUCAGGAGUUUGAGAGCCUGCAAAGUGGUGGUGUUCCACUAGGGAGAACUCUAUAGAGUACAGCUCCAUCUGUAAGUAGGUGACAAUCUCUUGGCAACUCAGGCUCAACUAAGGAUGAUGUUUGUGCAUCUAAGCCAUCAUACUAGAGCAGUUUGCCUACAUUUUUGUAGAACAACAAAGAGGACCUGCUUGACCACCCUGCUUUCUAUGGAAGGAAAUGUUGGAAUUCAGUAUUCAGCCACCACAUAUCUAUCUUCCUUAGACUCAUACUUUAGAAGCCAGUUUUCUCUAAAAUGGAUCCAGGAGACAUGUCUUUGAUGCUGAUAGAUGAAAAGUCUUGCUGGAUGAGGUUGCUGAGGUGGGAUGAGGGCCAGUAGAAUGCCGUGUAUAGAGAAGGAAAGACUUGGAGCACUCCAUGUGGCCGAAGCUCAAAUCCUAAUGGCCUUGGAUGUCACUCUGCUAGGUAAGAAAGGCCAGAGUGAGUUGGCACAGAGAAGGAGGGGAUACUGCCUCUGGCCAUUGGCUGCUUUCCAAAACAGCUACAGUUUUCUGGCAUCAUGCUCUCCCUACACUGACAGCUAAAGACAAAAUGUCUUGGAUGCUGGGCCUGGUCUGCUGCUGUGUGUGACAAGCCAGGCACCCUCUUCAGUGCACAUAUGCAGGUGGUCUUUUGUGGAGGUAAGAUGUUCCUUUUUCUUUCAAAAAAUACCUUCCCUAGCCUUCUCUCCCAAAGAUGAGUUCUUCUAGCUGGUGGGAAUUCCUCAGUCUUCAUAGGCAGUCAAAGAAAUGGAUGGCAGGCUUCUGACACCCUCCCCCACCCUGGCUGGAAAUCUCAUCAUGCACAUAGCUAUGACUCAGCACUCACUGCUGGGUCAGGAGGGAGAAGCUAUUGCCUGGCUGGAACCUUCCCACAUUCUGCAUGUGAGCACAUCGGAACAGUACAGGCUGGGCCAGCAGGGUGAGGUUCCCAGGGCAAGUAUUUUCUCCUCUAACCCAUAUUCUUCCCACAAUUUAGGGAUUUCUGUUCUGGGCCCUGGGUAUUGAGGAUUCUAAAAACCAUUGCAUCGGCCAUAGACUAAAGUAUAAGUAGCCCUUUUCUUCUUUGCUUUUAACCAGUGGCCCACAAAAGGUGUUUAAACUUUAUUUGUACUGUUUGGCUUUCAUGGGUUGGGUUUUCUAUGUGUUAAUUUUAUAUCUAGACAGAAUAUGACUUUCGCAGAUUACCGUACCUCUCCUGCAUGUUGUUGUUGCCUCUGGCUGUGCAUGUGCGUGUGUUCUAACCAGUUUUCCCUAGCUUCUCUUUACAGAUGAAGACACUGAAGCCAUCCAAGACUAUGGCAGGGCCCUGUUCUCAGCAUAUAGGCAAGCAGGUGUUCUAAUUUACUAAGGAGUGACAUUGCCUCUACCCCUCUGGCCCCUGCCUUACCAAAGGAAUGACCUGUCAUGGGAGGGUAGAAGGGCUUCCAGAGAGAAAUAGGUAUAGGAACAGAUGGAGGCUGGAGAGUGGUGUCUCAGACUUCUUCUCUGUGAGGCAGGGUUUCUUUUCUAGACCAUCAAACCCAGUAACUUAAAGUUUACUUGAAGCCACAUAGUUGAGGAGGGAGAUCCCAUUAUUCUCACUGAGAUCAGAGCCCUAACAGCCCUAAGGUUUUCAUAGGCUGCCCUAUUAGACAUUCAGAUGACUCUGAGGCCUGGUGCCAGAGAGGUACAGUCUUCCAGAUUUUAUCAAAUCAUCCAGCUCUUCCAAACAAGUGAAGAAUCACCACCUAGUUUCAGAAAAGGGACAUUGCUCAGCUGACUACAGGAAUCCUGCUUUUAUAGGAUGCUGAAGACUGAGUGGGGUUGGAUGGACAAAAGGUUUAAAUGCUAGGACUACUUCUUUCCCUCCUCUGUAGUUCACUGCUUAACUUAUCUACUUUCAGUAAUUCUUAUUUACCAGAAAACAGGGUUUGCAGUCCAUGAAUGUGACCCUAGGCCUUACCUUUCCUUCAUUAGUAGUUUCCCCUUGCCAGGCCCUUUAUUUGCUGGGUAGGAAGAAAAGAAUUAGCCUCAUGCCAUGCUGAGGACCAAAAGAAACAGGUGUUUUCUAAAUAAUAGCAAACUGGGAUAGCCUUAGGGAAAGCUUUCUAGAGCUGAGAUGGCUGAGGGAGGAGGUGGAGAGUUGCUAAAAUGAGAUACCAGCACAGGCAGAGCCUUCUGGGAGGAAGGGUGUGCCCUGGAUCCCUGCAGGAUAUCUCUCUUUAGCAUAGAGGGAGGGGAUUGAGGAUGCUAGAGGAAGUUGCUAAGAAAAUUUAGCUGAAAUGGAAAUCAGAAGAGUUGAGUAUUAUCAUAUGCAAUCUCAUCUUCCUCUUCAUUUACAGGGUUUUGACCCUUGUUAAUAACUGUCAUCUAAUCUAUUUAUGACCUAAAGCACCCCCCCAUCAUGGGGCCACAGGCCCUAAUUUUGGCAACCAGUGUCAGUGCCACUCAGGAACCCAGUGUGUAUAGAUCUGCCUGCAGUCAUCUGCAGCUAAGGCUCUGGAAAGCCCCAGGAGGCUGCUGGGCCUUCUGCUUCUCCUCUGACUGGCCCAGUUUCUGAGAAGCUAAAGCCUAUGCAUUGUCAGCAUUGCUAGGCUUCAUUGCCAGUAUCUUCUCUAUUGCUGGGAAGAAUAGAGAGGCACCAAUGAGGCAAAAGAACAAAAGCAGGUUCUCUUAGACUACCUGACCUCUUACAGUACUAACACCAUGUGCUCUCAUCUUCACCCAGGUAUAGCAUGUUUACAGUGAGUCUCUCAACUCCCAUCCAGAUUGACUGAGCUAAACCCCCCUCCCCAAUCUAGCUCAGAGUUCAGUUCAAGAGAAAGGAGGUCACAGUCAAGCUGUGGAUCAAGCAGCAACAGUGGGCAGAGGGAAAGGAAUAUAGACCUUAGCUCAUCAUAUCCUGUGACUACAGUUUCUUGUGCAGACAUCGGAAUAAUAACCUACUUCACUGGACUCUUGGAACAAUUAAGUAUUGUGACUCUGGGAAUGCUCACAUUAUAUUUGCUCUAUUACCCUACAAUAGCCAGGAGCCAUAAAAAGAGAUAAGCUUGUAUAUGGAGGCCAAAAAGAGUUUCUGAGGAACCUGAAAAAUACAGCUCUACUUUUUGUCUCCUUUUUCUGAGUUGUGACAUCAGAGGAAACACAGCAAAGAGGUAGUCCAAUGUGGAACAUAGCUUGUGAAUCUUAUUUUUAGAUAAAAUUUAAAAACAUAUCUUGUUUUUGUGUUAGAGGGUCAUCUGUAUAAUACAGUGAUAAGAUACCAGCUUUUUAAAGUCAUUAGGGGUUAAAUCAAAUUACUAACCUACUGGGUCAUGGGAUGGAGAGGAAGAAGGAUCGUGCUCUUUUUGAAUAAUUCUUGUGGAAGAGUUGUCCUGGCACAGGUGACUCACUUGGGUUCAGUUGUUAAUAUCUCAUAGGUCACUGUCUUGAACAAGUGACAUAAUAUAUCUGCAGAUACUAUGCAUCUUGGAAAAUUCUAUACAAAUUCAGGAUAUUACAAAUGUACAUAUGUUAGAUGGAUUUGGUUCUUUUAUUUCAUUGUAUAUAAUAAUUUCUAAUGACUAAUGUGAAGUCAUACAGGAAAUAAGCUUUGUAUUGGUCUUGUCUGCUCAAAGUGUUGGCUGUGACUCUGCUGCUGCUGAGCAGCAUUGGAUGGCUGUCAUCUGCUUCUGACAGGCAAAAUGAUUCUCAGGGCUGAGGCUGGUUCUUCUGACUGCACUUCUCUGCUUUCUUCAGUGAGAUCCUCUUCUUCUGGAAGCUGGUUUCACAUGGUGGCUUAGAUUUUUCCAUCUUUGUAUCUAGCACCAUUUGAAAUCAGUGUUUUAGGAGUAAGAAUUGCAGCACAGCAGAGGGUAGACUACAAAGGAACAGCUGUACACAGAACUGGCUCUCUCCUUCGAGAAAUCAAGGGAAGACUUGAAUAGUGAAAUUUGUUCUUGAGUCUGUCUGGUUUAGAGGCAGUGACAGUGAGAAAAUCUUUUGUGUUCAGAAUAACUGUAAGGGUAUAAUCAGAGGCAAAGAGUGAUCCACUUUAUCCAGCAUUCCAUGGGUGGAGGAGGGUGCCUUGGACCUGCACUGUUCAUUGUCCAGUAAUUUUCUGGGUGUUGAUUGUAGCAAGGAAGAGGUAAGGGCUCUGUAUGUGGAGGAUUGCUUCACUCACAUCAGUACUGCCUACCUGUACCUGGAAGAUCUGUGGAGCACUCAGUCCUGGUUGCAGCACAGCUGAAAGCAGACUGUCACCUGCCUUGAGAUUCAGACCUGAAGAACACCACUGGUUCAUCUCUUACACAGGCUGACCGAUUUCUCCUGGUGUUCAGAGUCUGUUUUUGUCUAGCACCAUUUGAAAUCGGUUAUGAUGUAGGGGGAAAAGCACCAGCCUCAGAGCCUUGUGGUGUCUGGUCAGCAUCAGCCUGUCAUUUCCUACACGGGCAGAGCAGAAAAGGAAGAUCACAGUUUCCUAACUUCUUUAAUGCAUAUAUAUAUGUGGCUACAGAAGUUAGGGAUCACUUAGUGGGGUUUUUUUAAUUGUUACAAUUUAUUGUUGUAAAAUAUCCUCAGUUAUAAUUUCUGACAUGUAGUACUGUUAUAACCUAGGUGCUGUUAAACGUUAAGUGUUGACUUUAAUAAAUAAUAUGUUACAUUCAA